rnacentral:piRNA from 1 species
UGUCAAUAUUUUGAAUGGAGGGCUUCUUU